GUUCCAGACUCCUACGGGAGGCAGCAGUGAGGAAUAUUGGUCAAUGGCCGAGAGGCUGAACCAGCCAAGUCGCGUGAGGGAUGACGGCCCUACGGGUUGUAAACCUCUUUUGUCGGGGAGCAAAGAGAGUCACGUGUGGCUCAUUGAGAGUACCCGAAGAAAAAGCAUCGGCUAACUCCGUGCCAGCAGCCGCGGUAAUACGGAGGAUGCAAGCGUUAUCCGGAUUUAUUGGGUUUAAAGGGUGCGCGGGCGGAGGUGCAAGUCAGUGGUCAAAUUGCGGGGCUCAACCCCGUACUGCCGUUGAAACUGCAUCCCUUGAGUGCGCGAGAAGUAUGCGGAAUGCGUGGUGUAGCGGUGAAAUGCAUAGAUAUCACGCAGAACCCCGAUUGCGAAGGCAGCCUUCCGGCGCCCUACUGACGCUGAGGCACGAAAGUGCGGGGAUCGAACAGGAUUAGAUACCCCCGUAGUC
rnacentral:rRNA from 1 species